rnacentral:rRNA from 1 species
UACGGAGGAUGCAAGCGUUAUCCGGAAUGAUUGGGCGUAAAGGGUCCGCAGGUGGCAGUGUAAGUCUGCUGUCAAAGAAUGAGGCUUAACCUUAUCAAGGCAGUGGAAACUACACAGCUAGAGUACGGUCGGGGUAGAAGGAAUUCCUGGUGUAGCGGUGAAAUGCGCAGAUAUCAGGAGGAACACCAGCGGCGAAGGCGGCGCUCUGGGCCGGAACUGACGCUGAGGAGCGAAAGCGUGGGUAGCAAACAGG